AGAGACAGCAGUAGCCGCGGUAAUACGUAGGGUGCAAGCGUUAAUCGGAAUUACUGGGCGUAAAGCGUGCGCAGGCGGUUUGUUAAGACAGAUAUGAAAUCCCCGGGCUCAACCUGGGAACUGCAUUUGUGACUGGCAGGCUAGAGUAUGGCAGAGGGGGGUGGAAUUCCGCGUGUAGCAGUGAAAUGCGUAGAUAUGCGGAGGAACACCGAUGGCGAAGGCAGCCCCCUGGGCCAAUACUGACGCUCAUGCACGAAAGCGUGGGGAGCAAACAGGAUUAGAUACCCGGGUAGUCCCUGUCUCUUAUAC
rnacentral:rRNA from 1 species